AAUGCAAGUCGAGCGGAUGAGGGAGCUUGCUCCUGGAUUCAGCGGCGGACGGGUGAGUAAUGCCUAGGAAUCUGCCUGGUAGUGGGGGAUAACGUCCGGAAACGGGCGCUAAUACCGCAUACGUCCUGAGGGGGAAAGUGGGGGAUCUUCGGACCUCACGCUAUCAGAUGAGCCUAGGUCGGAUUAGCUAGUUGGUGGGGUAAAGGCCUACCAAGGCGACGAUCCGUAACUGGUCUGAGAGGAUGAUCAGUCACACUGGAACUGAGACACGGUCCAGACUCCUACGGGAGGCAGCAGUGGGGAAUAUUGGACAAUGGGCGAUAGCCUGAUCCAGCCAUGCCGCGUGUGUGAAGAAGGUCUUCGGAUUGUAAGCACUUUAAGUUGGGAGGAAGGCAGUAAGUUAAUACCUGCUGUUUGACGUACUACAGAUAGCACGCUACUCGUGCAGCAGCGCGUAUACGACGGUGCAGCGUAUCGAUACUGGCGUAAAGCGCGCGUAGGUGGUUCAGCA
rnacentral:rRNA from 1 species